GGAUGUGAGAGAGAUCGCCACGGUUGAUUUGGCUUAUCUGGCUGGAUAGGUGGGUGUCCCCUUCCUCCCUCACCUUUCCAUGUGCAUCCCUCCUGAAGCUGCGCACUCGGUUGAAUAGGAUGACCUUCCCCAAUAGAGAAAGAAUGUUCUUCACUCAAGGAUCUAUGAGUACCUGUGCUCCCCUGCUAGGACCUCCAAACAAGCUCUCAAAACCCAUUUGUAGGACAACAUAGUGAAGUCAAGCUUCCAAGACUCCAGACAUCCAAAUUAGGCACUGCAUGUGGCAGUCUGCCUUUCUUU
rnacentral:snRNA from 1 species